GCUCCAUCUGAAAAUAUUACAAUGAAUUUACUGAUAUGUAUUACAUUUUCUUCACUUCUCUCGUAACUUUUAAAGGCAUUUUCCAUAAAGAUGCAUUAUUUUGUUACUGCUGCUAGUUACUACAAUCUGUGCCCUUCACUAUUACCGACUCUCACUAUUUUUGACAAGUGCUUUCUGCAAAAAUCUACCAUAUUUUAUCUACUUUCUGGAUUGGCUAAUCUUUGCAAAUUAAUUGGAUCUUUUCAUGGGCUUUACUUGCACUCAUCUCCUCUCCCCACACCAAGGCACAAGAAGAAGAAGCAGCGGCAAAUUCGUGUACCGCAACAACAAACAAAAGAAAAAAGCAACUUUCCAAUUCAGAGAUAUCGACUUUACACCAGGAUCGAGGGAUCAACCACGUUGCUCAUCCCCGCCCGGCCACCGAGGGGACAGCGGCUACCCAUCCGCUCGAUGAUGAGUGGAUGAUCCUGGGCCGAGCAUUUUCUUUGUGGCAGAUUUGGCUUGGAAAUGGAAACUUUGAGAAUUUGUUCAUGUGGUGCCAUUAUGCCUCACCUUCCAAAACUCUUAUUACACAUUUAUUUACGUCCUCUCCUCACUGCUCCCAAUCCGAAUUUCCAAUCUGCCAAAAUUUAUCUCCUCAGAUGAAUUAUUGGUGCGAUGUGUGCCCUUUAAACUCGCAACAACGUUCCUUAUUGCUCAUUUCGGUCAUCUCUGGCUCUAAUUGAACCCUCGCCGCUUGUACACAGUUGCAUUGUUACCAACUAACUACUAAAUACACGGUGAAUAUGGCAGUUGGUUACACAAGAAGAAGACUAACCACCGACUACUAAUAACUCUUAAUCAGAUCACGGCACGACGUCGGAGGAAUCAAUUGGACGAGAUCGGAUUUUGAGGAAUAUAAUAAAAACAGAACUCACGCUAUGCACCUCUCAUUUCAUCGCGUUAACAAACAAACGAGGACCAAAAACUCGACCGGAAAGGGCUUUCGUUGGAUUGAAUAAAACCAAAAUUCCAAAUUCUGUAAAUACUUAUAAGUGGAUUGUAAUUGAUAU